rnacentral:tRNA from 1 species
GGAAGAGCGACGCCCCCGGUGGGGUGCCUGGUCUUCAAAACCAGUGAGGUGUCGACAAGACGCCUGGUGGGUUCGACUCCUACCUCUUCCGCCA